ACAACUGAGCUACUUUCACUUCUCUUUUUCAAGCAGAGACCUGUAGAGGACACUGUGGUUGACUCUCUGCCAAUGUCCCAUCCAAGCCAGCAAGCCCAUAGCCUUGCCAUGAGUCGGUAAGCAGCCCAAGUUGGCCAAAUAAGAUGAACAGGAAAGCCGUGUAUACGGUUACCGGGGAGGGGCCUGUUCUUUCUCUGCUGCUGGACCACAAAGGCUCUGGCAGGCUCGACAGCCGCUGACUUCUGCUGUGCUUCUACUUGGGACUCCAGGAGGCUGGGUUCUGAGUCUAUUCUAGAUGAGUUUACCCAGUUUCCGUUCUAUUCUCAGUCAAGUGAGGUUGGUUGGGAAUCUGUAAUCAAUGUUUCUCAGAUUCUCUCAUAGUCAGGUUCUAGGUCCAGAAAGGGUUCCUCCAGUCCAGUAUAUUCAUGGGAUAUCUGACUGGUACAAGUGAGGUGGAGGCCAUUUUUAGCCCUCCUUUUGCUGUUUUGCUUGGCAAGCGUGGCUGAAAAUGUGGGGAUUCCUUGCAGUCAUGUUCCUUUGUCCAUUCUCCAGCUUUGUGAGGCUUAAGCAAUAAUGGAGGUGGCAGAAGCAGUGUUGGCAGAGCUCUGAUCUGGCUUCUUGAGCUCUGAGCCAUAGCUGCAAAUAUGGCUUUUUCACUUCACUGCAUGUCCAGAGGCCAGUAAGAUGGUGGCAGGGUCUUGAUCACACUGUGGCUCUGAGAUCGCCUCAGAGAAAGCAUCUCCUUGUGACUUCCCUGUGGUCGGUGGGAUUGAUUUGAGAAAGAAUUGACAAAGAGAGCAAAGAGAAAGAACUGACCCACGCUAGUAACUUCAUUGUAGAUAGUGAAGUGAAAGUCGCUCAGUUGUGUCAGGGGCCUGACUCUUUGAGACCCAGUGGACUAUACAGUCCAUGGAAUUCUCCAGGCCAGAAUUCUGGAGGGGGUAGCCUAUCCCUUCUCCAGCAAAUCUUCCCGACCCAGAAAUCAAACCAGGGUCUCCUGCCUUGCAGGAAGAUUCUUUCCCAACUGAGCUAUCAGGAAAUCAGCUACUUAUCAUAUCCUAUAUUACGAAGACAAUGAAUUUCUGUAUUGUUCAAGUUAUUUUACUUGAGGUCUUCUUUUUCUUGUAGCUAAAAGCAGCUUUUAGAGAUGUAGAUAUUAGAGAUGAGAGGAUAAAAACCUGGGAGGAUCUUGGGGAAUGUUGCUUCAGGCCCAGAAUAGGGUGGCGUUUGAAUUGAGACCUCUUUUAGCCGUCUGGGUAGAAGUGCCUGGAAGGCUUCGGCUCUUCAAGUCAAAAUCCUGAACGGGAAAGUAAGGUUUGUAGAUACAAAGCGGUAGUGCCGGAGCUAGCCGGGGGGCGGUGCGUGUGCAUGCCAAGUUGCACUAGCCAUGGCCUCCUCUUUGCAACCCUGUGGACUGGAGCCCGCCCGUCUCCUCUGUGCAUGGGAUUUCCCAGGCAGGAAGACUAGAGUGGGUUGCCAUGCCCUCCUCCAGGGGAUCUUCCCAAACCAAGGAUCA
rnacentral:lncRNA from 1 species